UUCAUUGCAUUUUUCUAGCCUUGUUAAGGAUGCUUGUGACUUUUCCAAUGCCGAGGGAAGUCAAUACGCCCCGGUUCCUUAUGAUACAUGCAACCCUCACCUGCUUGUAUGGGUGAGCUCCGAUUCUUUAUCUUAGGAAAAGAAAGAAACUUUUGUAAAAUUGUUCAACCACUGUAAACGAAACAAAGUACUGUAGAAGAAAUAAACUGCUACAAAAUCUAAAGGUAGAGCGCACCAAAACAAGAUCCAAGAUAGGAUGUUCCUAGCCAAAACAAGAUCCAGGAAAGGAUGUUCCUACCUAACCUUAUACGAGCCGAAAGAGCAAACUACUAUAAAAGAAAUUAAUUAAUGUAAAAUCCUAAAGGCACUACCCCUCAAAACAGGAUCCAAGAUAGGAUGUUCCUACCCAACCUUGUACUAGCCUAAAGGACAAACUAGUAAAAGAAACAAACUAGUGUAUACAUGAGAACUGUCAAAUUUGCAAACAAACAACAAAGUAAAAGCAGUAACAAAACCAAAUAAGAAAACACUUUAAUUGUAUCACCGGGGAUGCUUAACUAGGGAGGAAAACAUUAUACCUAGUUGUUGAUGUUUCCUUCGUACGACCUUCUCGCCUGGUGCCAUUGCGUCACCGCUAGUCCUACGAAGGGAGAUGGGAAAUGGGUAGCAACUAUGAGGGGAAGAUUGUGGAUGGCGGUGAGCAGGUGAAGAUUUGGUAUGGUGGUGAGGAGGAGGUGAAGAUUUAUGAUGGGGGCAAGGAGGAGGUCAAGAUUUGGGAUGGGGGCGAGGAGGUGAAAAGGAAUUGAAGGCGGAAGGUUUUUGGAUGCGGAAGAUUUGGGUGGAAGGAGGGAAAGGACGGGGUAUUUGGCCAAUUGGGUGGAUGGACCUGUCACACUACCAAUAUACCCUUUUACUAUGGUGUCGGAUGAAAUGGGGUGUUGUUGGGAAGGGGGGAAUUGACAUUUCACAUCUGUCACAUGGCUUGGCCUAGGCGUCCGAAUAUUUGAAUAGCGUGCUGGAAAGAUUUUUGCAUUCGUCCGCGUCUGGUAACGGUGACCAAAGGAUGUUCUGUUUAGUAGAAUAUGCCAGAUAAAAAUCUGAAUAGUUGAAUGUCUAGUAGUCUAUUCAUGGAAGUUUCUUAUUAUUGGUACAAUCAGCGUAACCUGUACCAAAACUUUAUUGCUAGAAUCAGGAGAAUCUAGACCAAGAUUCAACAAAUUAUCAUUCAAAAUAUUUGGUAUAUCAUGAGAACACCUUCAAAAAGCCGGAAGAUCAAAUGAAAC
rnacentral:lncRNA from 1 species